GACUACGCCACUCUUAACUGGGGGGCGCUAGGACGCGGCUCGUUUACUUUGAAAAAAUUAGAGUGUUCAAAGCAGGCCUUUGCUUGAAUACAUUAGCAUGGAAUAAUGGAAUAGGACUUUGGUUCUAUUUUGUUGGCUUCUGGAACCGAAGUAAUGAUUAAUAGGGAUAGUUGGGGGCGUUUAUAUUUCCAUGUCAGAGGUGAAAUUCUUGGAUUUUGGAAAGAUAAACUUCUGCGAAAGCAUUCGCCAAGGAUGUUUUCAUUAAUCAAGAACGAAAGUUAGGGGAUCGAAGACGAUCAGAUACCGUCGUAGUCUUAACCAUAA
rnacentral:rRNA from 1 species